GACGAACGCUGGCGGCGUGCUUAACACAUGCAAGUCGAACGGAAAGGCUCCAGCUUGCCGGAGUACUCGAGUGGCGAACGGGUGAGUAACCCGUGGGUAAUCUGCCCUGCACUCUGGGAUAAGCCUGGGAAACUGGGUCUAAUACUGGAUAUGACCUUUCUCCUUAUGGGGUUUGGUGGAAAGUUUUUCGGUGUAGGAUGAGCCCGCGGCCUAUCGGCUUGUUGGUGGGGUGAUGGCCUACCAAGGCGACGACGGGUAGCCGGCCUGAGCGGGUGAUCGGCCACAUGGGGACUGAGAUACGGCCCAGACUGCAACGGGAGGCAGCAGGGGGGAAUAUUGCACAAUGGGCGGAAGCCUGAUGCAGCGACGCCGCGUGAGGGAUGACGGCCUUCGGGUUGUAAACCUCUUUCAGCAGGGACGAAGCGUAAGUGACGGUACCUGCAGAAGAAGCACCGGCUAACUAUGUG
rnacentral:rRNA from 1 species